UAGAGAAGUUACAAUUUUUGUGUUUUUUUUUAUUAUUCCGAUUGUUUCCAUGGAAGCUAGAUGAUAUAGACGAAAUGCACUUGUAUGAAAACACUGAGGGUUUGAAAAGAACCUUAUUCGCGUCGUUAAAUAGCGACCUUCUAGCGCUUGGUAGACCUAAAGUGGGUAGCUACAUGGCCAUAUUGCUGCAACAACAAAGUAAGUUCUUUCAGCGGCGUUCUAAAAACGGAACAUUUUCCUUGGCCACGCCGCCUGCUGCAGUUUUUUUUACCGGAAAACUCAUUGCCGAGAAUACGAUAAGACCGCCCAAGGCAAAUCGUGAACUCCUGCUGAAGACUUUCAUUGGACUGGCUGCUGUCUGUCCCCAACGGCGAGGAGUCUAAUCUACGCAAACCGACUGAUGGCGCCAGUGAAAUGAUUCGUGGGUUAGAUGGGAUUGGAGUGAUUCAUCUUGUCCUAGCCAAAUCAACGCCGACCCGAGAAGGAAGUGGGUAGAUGACAUCAGAGCUCAGCAUUACCAACCGUUAAAGGCUUGUUUAAAUUUCUGGAUGCUGCGAGGAUUUUGAACAAAGCCAAAUUCGAGCCUGGCAGUCACACGGACAAGUCUGCCAAAGCAAAGCGCGCACUUAUUGCAGUUAACCGUGGCAAAUGCGAUCCUUUUCCGACGGUGACAGCUGAUCAAAAAGAAUUAUGUUAGAUUAAUUGGUGAAUGUGGUUGUUGUUUUUCUAUGAAGGAAUUGCAUACGAUGGAAAAGACUUAUCUAUACAUAAUAGAAAUAUUCCCAAAUGAAAUUGACGUAAAUUGUAUUAGCCUAACAAUAUAACAAAAUAAAAACGAACGAACAUUACUUUAUACUAA